rnacentral:rRNA from 1 species
UCCGUAGGUGGAUAAUUAAGUCAGAGGUGAAAUCCUGCAGCUCAACUGUAGAAUUGCCUUUGAUACUGGUUAUCUUGAGUCAUUAUGAAGUGGUUAGAAUGUGUAGUGUAGCGGUGAAAUGCAUAGAUAUUACACAGAAUACCGAUUGCGAAGGCAGAUCACUAAUAAUGUACUGACACUGAGGGACGAAAGCGUGGGGAGCGAACAAGAUUAGAUACCCUGGUAGUCC